AACGAACGCUGGCGGCAGGCUUAACACAUGCAAGUCGAACGGUUGUAGCAAUACAGCAGUGGCAGACGGGUGAGUAACACGUGGGAACCUUCCUAGGGGUACGGAACAACUCAGGGAAACUUGAGCUAAUACCGUAUACGUCCGUGAGGAGAAAGAUUUAUCGCCCUUAGACGGGCCCGCGUCGGAUUAGCUAGUUGGUGGGGUAACGACCUACCACGGCGACGAUCCGUAGGUGAUUUUAGAGGAUGUUCAGCAACACUGGGACUGAGACACGGCCCAGACUCCAACGGGAGGCAGCAGUGGGGAAUCUUGGACAAUGGGCGCAAGCCUGAUCCAGCCAUGCCGCGUGAUUGAAGAAGGUCUUCGGAUUGUAAAGCUCUGUUGCCAGGGACGAUAAUGACGGUACCUGGAGAAUAAGCCCCGGCAAACUUCGUGCCAGCAGCCGCAGUAA
rnacentral:rRNA from 1 species